CAGUAGCCACGGGAAUACCAGCAGCCCAAGUGGUGGUCGCGUUUAUUGGGCCUAAAGCGCUCGUAGCCUGGCCGGUAAGUUCCCCGUGAAAUCGGGUCGCCCAACGAUUCGGCUUGCGGGGAAUACUGUCGGUCUUGGGGCCGGGAGACGCCGAGGGUACUCCGGGGGUAGCGGUGAAAUGCUGUAAUCCUCGGGGGACUACCAGUGGCGAAGGCGCUCGGCGAUAACGGGCCUGACGGUGAGGGGCGAAAGCUGGGGGCGCGAACGGGAUUAGAUACCCCUGUAGUCCCUGUCUCUUAUU
rnacentral:rRNA from 1 species